GGGCGUGUCUGGCGGAGCCGCGGGGCCUGUUGGGAAGGGGCUGGGGGGCUGCGUCCGGGUGUGCACCGCGCCCCCGCGUCCCGGCCACGGUCGCAGUCCCCGACGCGCUACAGGCACUGAGGCCUCUGUGGUUUUCCCCAGGGUCUGAAGACUAAACGCUGCUCUGGUCCGACAGCUGGGCUACGGGUCUGUCCGGGGUCGGUCCGCCCUGCCCGCCCAGAGCUGCAAGCCCCUGCGCCUUGCCGCGGGACCUGCGGGCUUUGUUCGCUUUGCAGCCCUGGCCUUCAGCAGCAGCGGAGCCCGGGGCCCGGUCCCGAAGGUCAGCUGUUCUGUGGAUGUACCUCCGGACCUGCAAGAGGCUCGCCGGCUUAUAACGAAGUUCGCAUAUUAGAUUCUUGACCCCGAUUUCAUCACCAGGAGGAAAAGAGACUUACGGUAGUGCUCUGUGCCGCAGCCUAGGCCGGGCCAGGGGAAUUCUGGUCUUUGUUCGAGGAUGGACAGCACCUUCUUAGCUGCAACUGUGCAAAGAGAGUCCAGUUCUCAGUUCCUAACCCCUCAGCAUCCCCAGUCUGGACGCCCUUCUGGUCAGGUGUUGAAUUUCGCUCCUGCAGCCAGUAUCCAAUCCUGCCACCCUUGUGGCUAACUCCCUACAGAGGCUUCGAGGUUGAUAUUUUUCUUUCCAGCUCUGGCAGGUGUAACAUCUUCACGUGGCCUGGAUCUGGGUCCCGCUGAAGGAGAAAGACCUGGAAUGGGGUGUCAGGCAUUCUGACGUCAAAGGAGUGUUUUCCACAAAGUGGGCCCGGACAGAUGUGCUAGGCAGGGCGGACAGUGACAGCAGGGACGGCAAUGGAGUCCCAAGACGGCUCCAAGCCUGGACAUCCUCAUCAGCGGGGCAACAGACAGCCUCUCACACUGCUGCAGGAGGAGGUGGAAAUGGCCCCCAGUGGGCCAGUCAGCCACAGAGAGAACUGCUCCAAGUUGCUCAUCACCAGGCCUCCCUGGGGCCCCGCCUCGCCUAAAGCUGGGGAAAGCAGACUGGGCAUGUUUCCCUGGAACAGAGCUCAGAGAUGUCUGGUGCCCUGAGGAUAAAUCUGGAUCCACUGGGACUUUGAUAUGCUUGGGCCGUGGGCAGGCACCUCAGGCCAAGAUGAAAUCUGUGCAUUUGGGGUAGAUCUGAAAAUGAACAGCACAUUUCCAGGAUGGGAGCAGACAUGGAGAAGAUGUGUGGGGAUUGUAGGGCCAGCGGGAUUCCUGGGGACACUCUGCCACCUGCCUCUAUGUGAUAAGGCCUGAGCAUCCUAGGCAGGGCCUGAGUGCCUGCUUCCCAGGACACUGAACUGCCACCAGGACUCUGGAACUCUACCAGAGGUCUUCAGAGCGGGAGACCAUGGGGUUGACUGGCUAGAAAGCAGGGAGGAAACCACACCAGGAGGAGGACCAGAGAGGAGUCAACAUGAUCAGGGCGUCCCCUCCUCAGCCCCUGUGGUUCGGGGGUGGAUGCCUCACCUGGCCUGACUGGAGCCUGUGAGCACCCGUCCAGGACAGAGGCUGGAAUUCUGGAAUGGGAUGCAGUCUCCCUGGCAGUGCUGAGCUGUGAGCACUGCACCUGUCAGCGGCCGCCUCUGCCUGGCAGUGAUGCCAGCCCGGAGAGGGAGAAGCGAGUGAAUGAAGAUGCUUGAACACCAGGAUCCAGCCGGGUCUGAAAUGGUCCACUUCUGUGCUUUUGGUUGGGUGAACCAAGACAUUUCAUUUUUAGCUUUGAGUUUCUGUCACCUGAGGCUGAGCCUCCUGACCACAGGCACAAGCAUAACAUACGAACCUCGGGCCUGGCCCACAGUUCCACAGAGGAGGGUGUCUGGACAGUCCAGGGACUGCCCAAAACCCAGCCCUGCUCAGAUGCCUCCCUGGUUCCCAGCCCCUCUUGGACCAGGGGCUCCAGGUCCCCAUGCACUAGCCCCACACACCUCUGCACCCGCAUCUUCCUACAGUUCCCAGGAUGCCAGCCACAUCCCUAGGGCCAUGCUUUUCCCUCUGCCUGAAGUCGCCUGCUUCACCUCCUCUCCGAAGCCUCGUGUGCCUCCUCACAAUCUCAUGCUCACCCUGGGGACACGUGGGACCACCGGGUCAUCACUUGUCUGCACAGACAGCUCCAAGGCCCCUGGUGUCACCUCUGUGCUGUCACCUCCUUUCUGUCCAGCAGAGGGAGCUCUGAAUCAGGAGUUAGAUCCUUGGUGCUCACCUCCCAGCUCCCCAGGGACCUGCCUCAGUUUCCCCAGCUGGGAGGCAGCAUGUGGAAGGCAGUGCCAGAGGGGCUCACCCCACCUGGUGGGCAUUCUGUAACUUGUGGGCUGCUGUGUCCAGCAGGUGCUGCUAUUGAACCCUUGAAAUUGAGGAACUGCACUUUCAGUUUUAUUUAAUUAAAUUCCAAUGGACACACGCAGCUAGUGGCCAAUGUCUUUGACGGCCAAACUCAGACUCCAGGCAGUGAUACUCAACGCUGGUCCUCCACACUCCCAGAAAGCUUUAAUUAACACACAUGUCUACCCCCCUGCCCCCACCUGCCCCCAACAGAGAAAUUGAAGUAGUCUGGGGUGGAGUUGGUGACCUGCAUGUCCAGGAGGCCUCUGGUUGAGUCUGAAACUUCCAGGUGAGCCUGAUGGUUCCACGUGUGCCUAACACUCAGCGAGGUCGGCAGACUCCUAAGACCUGCUCACCCACCCUGCUCACUGCUGCGUGGAGCUGGGGAGUGCUCACUGGCCCCACUCACUCUGUAUGUGGAGCUGGGGAGUGCAGUGUCCAGUUAGCCUCUUGCAGCCUCUUGCUUCCACUUCCCUCUCCAGAGUCCUCCCUGUGGCCCCAGAGCUCCCUGAUCUAGCCUUUCCUAAAGCUGACUCACCACCUCCUGGAUUCCCAGGCUGGAAUCUGGGGCCAGAGAUGGAGCAUCUCACGUUUUCAAAUGAUGCCCAGAAGCUCACAGACAGCAGGGCUGGCUGGUGGAUGUCUGGGCUCCGCAGGAUUGUGCGAACAGAGGCCUGCUGCUCUCAUCCUCCCGCCCUCCCCAUCAAGACAGGCCUUCUGUCCAUCCUUGGCCUUAGGUGGCCUCUCAGCUCAGCUUCACAAGCCACAGGGGCUUGGGAACGUGCAGGAAGGAGCCAGGCUCAGCUGUACUGAAUAAGCUUCUCCCCACCCCUGCCCCCCACAGACCUGGGCCAGGCUUGCCAGGGAAAUAAAUCAGACUAAUGGACCCAAAUGGGGCCACAGCCAUAGGAGGUGUGGUCCAGACAGCUGCAGCCGCACUGAGGAAUGUUGACCAUCCAGACUGAGACCCAUGGUCAGGUCAGCAUCCAGCCCAGCGCAGUCCAGCAGGUGGGGAGAAGCCCAUGGUGGGACCUGCCCCGGGCCUACGCUGGUCUUCUCAGCAUGCUCCCUGCUGGCCUCUUGCUCUGCCUGUGGCUCUAUAGCCCCUGGCUGGGAGCCAGCACUCACCGCAGCCAAAGCCCGGAGGGAUGGACUCAUGCCAGGAUGCUGGCCCCGUGGCAGGACACCUGGGGAGUCCCUGGGCUCUGGGAGGCCCUCAGGGGGGUGCCCAGGACAGUGACCCCUCGGGAACAUACCUACUGCUCAUUUUUGUUUUGGGGUGUGCUCUGGAGAGCUCCACCUAAUACUCGGGGAGGGGGCUGUAAACCGAAAAACAUGAGAGGUAGGGCUCAGUCGAUCAAGAAGUUUAUUUUGCCAAGGUUGAGGACAUGCCCAGAAGAAAAGCACAUGGAGUCAUAGAAA